rnacentral:rRNA from 1 species
AUUGAACGCUGGCGGCAUGCCUUACACAUGCAAGUCGAACGGCAGCACGGGAGCAAUCCUGGUGGCGAGUGGCGAACGGGUGAGUAAUGUAUCGGAACGUACCUUUCAGCGGGGGAUAACGUAGCGAAAGUUACGCUAAUACCGCAUAUUCUGUGAGCAGGAAAGCAGGGGAUCGCAAGACCUUGCGCUGAUUGAGCGGCCGAUAUCAGAUUAGCUAGUUGGUGAGGUAAAGGCUCACCAAGGCGACGAUCUGUAGCGGGUCUGAGAGGAUGAUCCGCCACACUGGAACUGAGACACGGUCCAGACUCCUACGGGAGGCAGCAGUGGGGAAUUUUGGACAAUGGGCGCAAGCCUGAUCCAGCCAUGCCGCGUGAGUGAAGAAGGCC